AACUCUUCUGUGAGAGCAGGCUGCUCAGUUCCACCCAUCCUCUCUGAGACCGCAAACAGAGCUGAACCAGAGAACCGAGACUUAUAAACAAGGGUGUAGGCCGAUGAGGAGACUGAGGCCCAGAGAAGCUAAGAAACGUGCCCAAAGUUGCAUAACAGCAAACAGCAGAACUGGGAUAUGGACGAAGGCAGUCUGCCUCCAGAGAGGACUAUGUGUUGCCUGGAGAGCUGGGAGAAAAGAAACCUCAUGCUUGUUUUCUGCAGUUGGUGUUGAGCCUGCAGCUGCUUAUUCUUUAAGAAAAAGGACACCUUAACUUGUUGGGAUGAGCACUGGGUGUGGUACGUAAGCGACGAAUCACGGGAAUCUACCCCCCAAAACCAAGAGCACCCUGUGCACUGUAUGUUAGCCGAUUUGACAAUAAAUUAAAUUAAAAAAAAAAGGAAAACAAAAGAAAAAGGGCACUUUAUAGCUACAACAGGAGAUCGCAGAUUGGCUUAUGGAAAAAGGUGAUCGAAAUCUGGCCACGUUAGCGCUCUGAAAAGCUCUCAAUGU